rnacentral:rRNA from 1 species
GUGCCAGCAGCCGCGGUAAUACGUAGGUGGCAAGCGUUGUCCGGAAUUAUUGGGCGUAAAGGGCGUGUAGGUGGAUUCUUAAGUCGUGUGUCUAAGUGCGGGGCUCAACCCCGUAUGGGCGCAGGAAACUGGGGAUCUUGAGUGCAGGAGAGGAAAGUGGAAUUCCCAGUGUAGCGGUGAAAUGCGUAGUUAUUGGGAGGAACACCAGUGGCGAAGGCGACUUUCGGGACUGUCUCUGACUCUGAGGCGGGAAAGCUAGGGG